UAGGGAGGAAGGUAGUGUAGUUAACACCUGCAUUAUUUGACGUUACCUACAGAAGAAGCACCGGCUAACUCCGUGCCAGCAGCCGCGGUAAUACGGAGGGUGCGAGCGUUAAUCGGAAUUACUGGGCGUAAAGCGCAUGCAGGCGGCCUGUUAAGUCAGAUGUGAAAGACCCGGGGCGUUAACCUCGGAAUUGCAUUUGUAAACUGGCAGGCUAGAGUCUUGUAGAGGGGGGUAGGAAUUUCAGGUGUAGCGGUGAAAUGCGUAGAGAUCUGAAGGAAUACCAGUGGCGAAGGCGGCCCCCUCGGACAAAGACUGACGCUCAGAUGCGAAAGCGUGGGGAGCAAACAGGAUUAGAUACCCCUGGUAG
rnacentral:rRNA from 1 species